GGGAGAUCAGUGCACCUGCAUAUUUACUCUCCUGUUCCAUCCCUCUCUAUUUCACUCUCUAAUUAUUUCCUGUCAUUUAACUAAUUAGGUAAUUAUGCUAUUCAGUUAACAUUAAGUGGACAGCUAUUCUAUACUAGAAUAACAUUACAGCAAGUUCCUCAGGAGUUCAUGGUUUCUUGGGAAGAAAUAACUGUUGUCAUCUGAUAACAUUUUAGAAAUGAUUUUCUGUGCUCUGUGUAGAGCACUACAGGACCAUUUGCACAUAUAAUGGAUCUUUCUUUUCUGAGAAACAGUAUCAUCCUGAUGUUGCCAGUGCUAAAGAAAUGAAGUCUGCGAUGCACCUUUUUCUCCUAUGGCUCCUUUAAGUAAAAUCAAAACUGCUAGGUUAUAAUGACAAAUCUUUGAG
rnacentral:lncRNA from 1 species